GAGGGAGGUCGCUCAGCCGGUGUUAAGGCCGACGUGACCGGAGGGAGGUCGCUCAGCCGGUGUUAAGUGGGUUUGGGUUCGUGGCUUCUUUUUUUUAAAACAUUUUAAAUUUUAUUAGGAUAAAAUAUAUAUAACAUAAAGUUUGCCACUUUAGCCAUUUUUAAGCGUACAAUUCAGUGACGUUAACUACAUCCACAGUGCUGUGCAACCUUCACCGAAAGUAUUCCAUCACCCUAAACAGAAACUCAGCACCCCUUACGGAAUAGGUCCCCAUUCUGCACUCCCCACGGCGCCUGGUGAUCACUAACCUACCUUUUUAUUGUGCUUUAGGUGAAAGUUUGCAGAGUAACGUAGUUUUCCACUCGAUAUUUUGUACAUAAAGUGUUUCAUGGUCUUGGUUUCAUUUCCCGUAAUAUGUCAGCACUCUCCCCGCUUCCGCCGUGGUUCCUCAUUUUCUUUUGUGCUGAUUAUCUACUCCUUCCUGCCUUCUCAUCUUAUAACUGAUUGUUCUAAGGAGUACGUUCCUCUUGAGUGUUAUUGUUUAUCUUACGUGCUUGUCUAUUGUUUGGCUGGGAGGUGGUCUCCGGGAACAGCUUCAUUUCCAGGUCAGAAGGGUGCUUUAAGCCAUAGUCUCGUAGGUUCCUCUAGUCUCUGUCAGAUUGGCAAGCCUGGUCUUUUUUGUGAAUUUGAUUUUUCCUUGUUGUUGUUCUACAAUUUUCUCCCACUUUGUACAGGUCCCUCUGUUGUGAUCCCCUUCAGAGCGGUUGGUAGUGGUAACCAGGCACCAUCUAGUUCUUCUGGUCUCGGGUCCUGUAGGUUGUGGUUAGUGUGGUUCCUUUGGACCAAUUGCUCCCUUGAGUCUUUGCUUCUCUUUCACUCUUCCUCACUCUGGACAGGAAGAGACCGAUAAUUACAUGGCUGUUCAUAAGCUUUUAAGGCCCCAGACGUUACUCACCGAAGUAGGAUGCAGAACAUUGACGUUACAUACUGUGUUGUUGUGUUGACGUAGAUGUCCCCGAGCCUAUGGUCCUUUGUCUCCUAGCCUAGGAACUUCAUCCUGCGAGGUUUUUGGUUAUGUCUUAGAGGUUUCUCAAAACAUCCACCACCAAACCUGUAUUUGCUGGUGGGUGUGUUCCACUACACCUCCUGACAUAUCUAUUUGUCCAUUCGGAAAUUAUUGUUUGUUAAUACUAUUGCUGCAGGAUUGUCUUAGCUGUAGUAGUUACCUACCCCAGUGCCCCAGUGCUGUUGAGUCGAUUCCGACUCAUAGGGAGUGUUGAGUACUUACUGUAGCUGCCCUUUAUUCUCUUUAUUCUUGUGUUCCUAUCAGUGUCCUCUUUUGCAUUGGUCAUGUUGUACUGGCUUCCCCCAUAUUAUGUAUUGCCUUUCCUUUCACCUAUAUUAACUUGUGUCUUCUAUCCAAUUGGUAAUUUUCCCUCCCUUCCCCUCUGUGAGGAAACCCUGGUAGUGGAGUGGUUAAGUGCUACGGCUGCUAACCAAGAGGUUGGUAGUUCGAAUCCACUAGGUGCUCCGUGGAAACUCUAUGUGGGCAGUUCUGGUCUGUCCUAUAGGGUCAGUGUCUUAGUUACCUGGUGUUGCUAUAACAGAAAUACCACAAGUGGAUGGUUUUAACGAAGAGAAAUUUAUUUCUUCACAGUAAAGCAGGCUAAAAGUCCGAAGUCAAGGUGUCAGCUCCAAGUUCUUGGGACUUGAGCUAGCAGCUCACCUGCUGACCUUGGGAUUCGUUGAUCUUCACAGCCUGUGAGCAAGAGCCCUGCUCUCCGACCUGCCGAUCAGUUUUGUCUUUUCACCAGCCCCUACUGCUACGUGAAUCAGGAGGAGCCUCUAUCCUGACCCACAGACUUGGGACAUUCCAGCCUCUAGAAACAACUUUCACAUGCAAGAAUACCAAAGAAGAAUUGACGCCUUUGAACUGUGGUGUUAGUGGAGAAUAUUGAAUAUAUCAUGGACUGCCAAAAGAACGAACAAAUCUGUCUUGGAAGAAGUGCAGCCAGGAUACUCCUUAGAAGCAAGGAUGGCAAGACUGCAUCUUACAUACUUUGGACAUGUUGUCAGGAGGGAUCAGUCCCUGAAGAGGGAAAUCAUGCUUGGCAAAGUACUGGGUCAGCAGAAAAGAGGAAGACUCUCAAUGAGGUGGAUUGACAUGGUAGCUCCAACAAUGAGCUCAAGCAUAACAACGAUUGUAAGGUUGGCACAGGACUGGGCAGUGUUUCGUUCUGUUGUGCACAGGGGCGCUGUGAGUCAGAACCAACUCAAUGGCACCUAACAACAACAACAACAACAUCCCAUUGUGUGGAUGUACCACAGCUUGUUAAUCCAUUCAUCUGUUGAUGGACACUUAGGUUGUUCCUUUUUUUAUAUUGUGAAUAAUGUUACAAUGAACAUGGGUGUAUGUAUUUCUAUUCAUGCCAUGGCACCUAUUUCUUUAGGGUAUCUACCUAGAAGUGGGAUUGGGGGAUCAUAUGGUACUUCUAUUUCUAGCUUUUUGAGGAAGAGCCAUACCGUUUUCCAAAGUGGUUAUACUAUUUUACAUUCCCGUCAACAGUGUGUAAGAGUUCCAAUCUCUCCACAACCACGCCAACAUUUGUUAUUUCUGCUUCUUUUUAUUAGUGCCAGUAAUAGCAAGGUGAGAUGGUAUCUCACUGUAGUUUUGAUUUGUAUCUACUAGCUAUAAGGCCUCUAUGAGUUGGAAUUGACUUAAUGGCAAUGAGUUUGGUUUUUGGCUUUUUUUAAUAGCUAAUGUUUGUUAGCCGCCUGAAUGUCUUUUUUGAUGAAGUGUCUGUUAGUAUCCUUUGCCUAUUUUUUAAUUGGAUUGUUUGUCUUUUUAUUGUUGAAGUUUUCUAUAAAUUUUAGAGACUAGUCCCUUGACUAAUCUACUUUUUUCUCUUCACAUUUGCCUAUUCUAGAAAUUUCAUAUAAGUGGGAUCAUACAAUGUUUGCCCCUUUGUGUCUGCCUUAUUUCACUUGGCAUAAUGUUUUCAAGCUUCCUUUGUAUUGUAGCAUAUAUCGAACUUCAUUUCUCUUUAUGACUGAGUAGUAUGUCGUUGUGUGUAUAUACCACAUUUUGUUUAUCCAUUCAUCUAUUGAUGGACACUAGAGUUGUUUCCAUCUUUUGGCUACUGUGAAUAGAGCUGCAAAGAACAUUGGUGUACAUGUGUCUGUUUGAGUCCUUGCUUUCAACAAAGCAUGGACUUUUGAAGAUGGUACAGGGCAGAGCACAACCAGUUCUUCUGGUGGUGGGGGCCUUUAGGAGGUUAUGGGGGAGGCCUGCUGGGACCUGAGCCAUGGGCUUCAGAAGAAGGGCAGCCCUGGGUAGGACCAUGCCUGAACCUGGGGUCUUCUAAGCAGGGGAUAGAAGGAGGAUGGAGAUGUUGGAAAGGGCGUGGGGCAGAGAAGGGUUUACAGGUCCUCAGACAACAAUUGUAUUUUCCUCAGCUGUAAAAUAAGGUGAUUGUCCCUGGACGGCAACCAUCAGCGGUGGGCAGAGGCUUCUAAGGGUCUCAGGCAUCAUGUAGCCAGCGUUGGAGACACGGCUGCCUCCUGGGGCAGGGUCCUGAGCCUUCCCCAGACCAGACAGAGGCCUCAGAGUCCUCCAGCACCUCAUCGGCAGUACUUGUCCCACAGCGUUGCCUGACAGAGAAGGAAGCUGGGGCUCAUGGGUGUACAAAUGACUUGCCCAAGGUCCCAUCGCAGAGCUGCUUUUGGAGCCCAUUUCAUUCUCCAUUAGGCAUGUCUUCACGUACCAGAACCCAGAGGGGAGGGCCAUGACAGGAAGCUCCUGGGCCUUGUGGUGUGAGACUGAGGUCCUGGGAAGGCCCCAGGCCCCCUGUCCUCGAGUCCUCCAUUAGAGAUGAGCUCCCUGGGAGUCGGGGACAAUCCACUAUCCCAUGUUCGGGGGUUAGUUUGUCAUAACAAGGCAAAGAUUGUGUAGAGUCAAAAUUAGCCUUGAAAAUCCCUUAGGAGACGCCUCAGUGGGAUCCUGCAUGCAGCCCCUCAGCCCGCCCCACCCUGACUGAUGUUCCUCCCUCAUUGGCUCAGAUCCCUAGGUCUUUGGUGGACAGCAGACAAAUGUGUCUCGAGGCCACUUUGUAUUAACGUAGCUAUCUGUUAACCUGGGGUUACUCUUUCAAAGGGGGAGAGACGGAGGGCCAGCAGAAGGCAACAGGCUCAGUGUCCCCUUGUCAAGCUCCACACCCUCCUGAGACCCAACUCGCCCCCAGUGCCCUUGAGUCGAUUCCGACUCAUAGCUAACCCUCCUGAGAGGAACUAAAUAUCCCACACUAGCUUGAUCAUCCUUGCUUCUUAUUCGUACUCUUGGUCCAAUGUGUUCAGCUGAAACAGCAUGGGUUCAUGGCCAGGUGGUGCUUGGCUGGCCGCGGUGUCCAGGUGGGUCAGCCAUGCCUCUGCCCAGCAAGCUUCUAGGCAGGUAACUGUCAGGUCGUUUCCAGACUGCAUGGUAGCGUGGGAAAAGGGCAUGGUUCAAAUCCUGGCUUUGCCAUUUCGUGUCCUCCGAAUAGAUUAAGUCUCUUAUCCUCGCUGACCCUCCAGUUUCUUAUUUGUCAAAGAGAAAAAGCAAUAUACUGGAAGAUAAGAUGAAAUUUAUGGAGUGUGAUACAUAACAUAGAGUGUGAUAUGUCACGUAACUGUCAGGAAGAGGUGGUGAGCAUGCGUGCACACACAAAGACACAUGCACACAUGCACACAGGCACACCCGUGCACACACAUGCACACACAUACGCCUCCAGGGCAGGACGCAUGGGGAAAUGGAGAAGGAGGUCAGAGUUUCCAGUGUGCUGGCAGGCAGUUGGAAGGAUGGGUAGGAAUCUGGGGGAGGAGGAUGCUGGAAAGGCUGAUGGAUGGGAGUGCUGCUGAGCCAAGAGGCCCCCAGCCCAGUCCAGGCCCCCAGCCAUACUGGGUGGAAGGUAUCUUGGGAAGUCCAGCCAGCCAGGGAGCAAAGGAGUGGCAAAAGUCCAAACACCAAAGCUGGGCUCGAGGAUUUCGGCCAAACGAAGAGCAGCGGGAAGUGUGUGUGAGUUGAAAGGCCCAGAAACCCCGUGUGUCUGAGAUCCCCGAGGCUUCAGAAGGACCUGGGUUGAGUGCCUGGGAGCCUUCUGGAAUCUGUCCAGACCCCUGCUCAGCUGUCUAUUUGACACAUGUUGGGGGAAGAGAGGAGAGAAAACAGAGGCAGGGGAGGGGAAGCCACGCAGCUGUUCCUGGGCUGGGGGCCUCGGCAAUUUAAGCCAAGCUGCAGGCUGCUGCCAGGCCAGGCUGAGAAGGCCUCUUGGAAGCCGACUUCUGAGGCCCUGGCCCCGCCUCGCCAGCAGCCCCGGGAUUAGCUCAGCAGCCUUCUCUGAGCUCUGAACAUCUGCAGCCUGGAGUCCACUUUCCUGGCUCCAGCCCCGUGGGGCAAUCUCCUGCGAUGACGGGAGGGGAGCAGACAGCUGCGACCUGGAAGGAGGCGUGGGAGGGGCCCCUGACUGUCCUAAAAUUCAGGGAUUAGGGUAUAGCCUCAGUGCAGGAGCUGCCUGGGCCUCGUUCCAGAAAUGCCUUCCCCUUCCCCCCAUCUUGUCAGCCUGAGGGAGAUGGGGGUGAGGUGAAACAGAAGGGAAAUAACAUCUGUACAGCCCCACUAGAUGCCAGGGAGGUGCUGGGCACUUUACUUCAGCCUCAUAACUGUUUCAAGGUUGCUCCUAUUUCCAUCCUUCAUUUGAGGAAACAGGCUCAGAGAGGUUAAGUAACUUGUCCACAGUGACCCAGCUCACUGUGGUAGAGCCAAGAUAAAAACCUAGGUCCAUCUAGUUCUAAAUCCGGAGCCCCCUCUUUUUCUGGAGCCCAAAGAAUUGGAACUAGGCAGGUGAGAAUGGAAACCAGGGCUCAGUGCAAUCACUGGCUAAACUGCUGAAGAAGGAAGGAAGGGACAGCAGGCUUUGCAAGUUGCUCCUGGGGUAUUUUCAGUUCUCAUGCUACACUGUUAUCCGGAAGAAAAGGCUCAGAUGAGAAGCCAACAAACCACAUCACAGGAGGCUAAUUGGAAAAUCCUGGGCUCUCCAGCUUGGCGACCUCACGGAAGAGGCUAGAUUGUUGCUGGCCCUGAGCAAACUAUUUCAGUGGACUCAGUUCAGCCAGGAUAGGCUAGGUUUGCUGCGAUAAUGAACAAUUCCCACAUCUCAGUUUAUUUUUUGCUCACAUCACAUGUUCAGCACAGGCCAACAGGAGGUGCUGCUUGUCCUGGUCACUCAGGGGUCCAAGCCAAGUGGGGCUUCAUGUAGAAUGAGCACCCCCAGCCUCUGCAGCCUUGAAACCGGAAAGAGGUAAACUGCACACUGUCUUUUAAAGCUUCUGCUCACAUUUCAUUGGCCAAAGGAAGUCACAUGGCAACGCCUGACUUCAGGGGCAGUCCCACCCAAUGCUCAGGAGCAGACUGGUCAAAGUUGUAACUGGGACUGUGGGUCAGUGCAUCAGAAAGCAGACCUUAAGUCCCAAUAAGCAGGAUCUUCCCAGUGAAAUAGUACCGUCAACAGAGGUGGCAAGCCACAGCACGAUGGGUACACUGCAGGAAGGUGAUGGAAGAACCUGGGCCAUGGCGGCAGGGUCAUGGGACACGGCCUGUGUAGCCAUACAGGGCAGCGGUGGUCAAGGGCAAGGGCUCUGGAGCCAGAGGCACCUGCAUUCAGAUCCCGUGGUGCUCUCUUGUUGGCUGUGUUCCUUCGUGCAGAUUACCUGAAACCUCUGCGCUCCAUCUCCUCCUCUGUAAGGUGGGGAUAAUAAUGUCAUAGGGUUGUUGUGAGGCUUCAACAAGGCAGUGCACGUAAAGCCUAGAGGACCGUGCCCCAUGCUUGGCACGUGGGAAGCUCUGGUCAAGUCAGUCGCUCUUGUUGUUGUUCUCAGUCCUCCCCAAGGUUCUGUGGCCCUCCCCUCCCAGAAUCCUUGGCUGAGUCCCUUCCUGGGCCUCUCACAUCCCUGGAACGUUAGUCAGCGGCCAGGGCAGGGUAGGGAGAGUCCUGUAUGCUGGCCAAGCAGGCUGAGCUUCCCCACUACUGCUGUCGCACGGUCUACGGAAGGAGGGCGUUUGCCUUCUUAGGAGAGCAGUCCCCUUCUUCAGCUCAUCGCCAGUCUUCCCUGACAACUGCUGAAAAACCUGACUCCUGUCUGUAUUAUUUUGCCAUUUCCUUAAGGUCACAGAAAUGGAGCCAGACGGCAUGGAGAUUUUUUGUCUCUUGAGUUAUCUGCUUUAUUAACCCUUGGACAUAUUACAUGGGAGAUUACCCUUUGCUCUCCUCUCCCUGGAGUCCCUGGGUGGUACAAAUGGUGAAUGUGCUCAGCUCCGAACCAAAAGGUUAGAGGUUCGAGUCCACCUAGAGGUGCCGUGGAAGAAAGUCCUGGCAAUCUACUUUCAAAAAUUCAGCCAUUAAACACCCUGUGGAGCACAGUUCUACUCUGACACACACGGGGUCACCAGGAGUCAGAGUCAACCUGAUGGCACCUGUUUUCUUCUCACUCCCCUCACUCCCUGUCCAGGGAUCACUGGUGUUUCCUUGUUUGUUGCUAUCUUUGUAAUGUGCUCUCAGCUGUAGCAGUACUUCCAGGGGCCCCACUUGCUGAGCUGAAGCUAUCAGUUUUAGAGACAUCAGGAGGAGGUGUGAUAAAGUGAGGUGGUGUGUUUCAGAAAUGGGAGCUGCAGGAGCGCAGAGGAGGGGCAGGAAGUUAGGGGAGCCUUUCGGGAAGAGGCGGGAUUUGAGCUGAGCCUUGUCCAUUUAACGUCUCUGAGGUCAGCUGCUGGCCAGCCCGCUGUGGGUCCUGUCAGCGAGCCCUGCCUGCAGUACCUCACUUCAGACACCAGGGGGAGGGCAAGUGGCUUAGCUGGGGCUGCCUCUGCUCAAUAGCACCCCAGCUGCUCAGCCCUCCCCACUCCUGUCGGUAUAAGCAGGGGCAAGGGGACCCGGCUCUGGGCUCUCAGCUCUCAGCCCUCUACCUCACAGGGGCUUGAACCCAUAAAUGCUAUCUGAAGCUGUGGUUUCUUGGCCUCUGUUCGCUGGUAUUGUCUCAUCUGCGCUCCAGAUUUCUCAAAGCCUGGUCCCUAGGGACCUUGCAUGGGAACGAAACGUGUCUGAAUCAGCUCGUUAAACAUGCAGACUCCCAGGCCCUGCUCCAGGCCCUUUGUGAGGAAAUGGGGCCCAGGAAUCUGUAUGUUUAAUACUCAGCCCACGUUCCUUUCACACACAGGAAAGACUGAGACCCCCAGACUCUAGGCUUUCUAUGACCUGACCCCUCACGUCUCUCCACUCUUCUCUCCCCUGCUCCCCACAGCGGUUUCUGGUAAAGGGUCUGUAAUUCUGAGAAACGUAGCAUACUCGACCACUGGAGAAUCACAGUUCAUGCUGCCAUGUUAAAAGCCCCGGAGCUAAGGGGCCUGUGUGACUUUGUGGAACCAAGCUUUUCCCCAAAUCAUUUGACAGGGGAGCCUGUUCUCCCAUGUUCAUGCCUACUUCACCUCACCUAGCACUAGCUCGCUUGUCACUGCCUGGGCUGAGCUUCUGAGCAAAGGGAACUGAAGUGCUUGGAGAAGAUGAAAAGCCAUUGCAGCUCAAGUCAGAGGCCACCUGGGUUUCCAUCCUCCACCCAUUCUGCCCAGGGUUUCCUAGACUUUGGAAUUUCAAGGUCCUGCAAGCAAUUCCCCCGAUACGGAGGGCCAAAGUAGGGUUCCCAAUUUUUACUUUGUCGAGAAUCCCAUUAAUGUAUCAGGUAACCUGUACUUUGGUUUUCCCAAAGUGUGGUUCCUGGACCCUUUGGAUGUGAAUCACCCAUUAUUUUAUAAAAUCAUUUAAAUACAAAUUCUGACAUCAAUAUUUUAUCUUAGUGCCAAAACAAGUAAAAGGAAUUGAAUUUCAGAAGAAAGGAGAGCCCUUAAAUUAAUAAAUUUAACUUCAUGGGAGCUCACUAUGGAAUCCUCACUUUUCUAGCUUGUGUGUUUGGGCCGGGGCUUGGGAAUAAGCUGAUAUUGAACAUCUGCUCUGAGCAUAGCUCCACGCUGGGGGCUGUGUUGUGAUUAAAAUACCAAGGCUAAGUGUCAGUACUGGAUUUUUACUACAUAUUUCAUAUAAUACCCAGACCUGAUAUUUUAAGUGAAAAGAAGGCAUUGUUGCAAUUAUUUCCUAUACUUGGUCUUCAUGCUAUUUUGCGGAUUAUUGUAGCUAGCCGCCACCAAGUCAGCUCCUGGCUCGUGGCGACCCCAUGAACAAUGGGAUUGGACUGUUGCGAUCCGUGGCUUUCAUUGGUUGAUUUUUUCAUAGAUUACCAAGCCUUUCUUCCUGCUCUGUCUUAGUCUGGAAGCUCUGCUGAAGCCUGUUCACCAUAAUAGCAACAUGCAAGCCUCCACUGACAGAUGGGUGGUGCCUGCACUUAAGAUGCAAGAAUUGAGGGGGUAGGAAAAUUUAAGAAAGCAAUAUCAUCUUCAGCUUCAUACAUGGUGUCUACUGUGAGGAUUGGAAUGGAUCUAGAGUCUGUGGCAGUGGUAGGCUCUGCCUUUUGGGCAGCAUGGUCAGGAUGGUGGAGGUUGGGAACCUGAAUGAUGGAGGGAAGGAGAGAAGGAGCCAGAAAUGCCCUCUCCAGAAGAUAAGCCCUGGAAAGGUUAGGAAGUGGCCUUCAUAUCUCCAAAGAACUGAUCCAGGAAGCAGUAUGCUGUCUGACACUCUGAGACCCUAGAAAGAGGAACUAGGACCAAUGGAGAGAAGUUAAAAAUUUAAGCAUAAUAGAGCUUAGGAAUCAGAGAUGCCUAAAUAUAGAAAGUGAGCUUCUCAUCACUGGGUGUAUGAAAAUAGAGUUCAGACAGUCAUUAGUCUGAGAGGUAGUGGAAAGGAUUACUACAUUUAAGUAAAAUUAAUUAAAAAUGAUUUUAUAUUUAUAGUACUUUACAUGUAACAAGUUACUUUGGUAUAACUGUGUUUCAAAAUAGUGUUGAGAGAUAAAUAAAGAUUUGUUCUGACUUCAGAUUCAACAUGGCAGUGAACAAAACAAAAAUCCUUGCCUUUGUGGAGUUCACAGUAUAGAGAUUCCAUAGAUUUUAUGUUAUCCUUGAGACAUUGGAAGAAUUUAUGGACAGAGUAAAAAAAGACAAUAUAAGUACAAAAAAAAAAGGCAAUUAUAAACUCCAAGAAAAAAAGAAGGGCAAGAAAAACAAGGCAAUGUAAUCAUAGCAUACUAUUGAUUGCACAGUAAACAAUAUUUAUAUAGUCAUAAGAAUGUAAACACUGUCUGUUUUUAAUUUUUAGAAUCAACCUAUAGGUAAAGCAUAGAAACUUAAUGAUAAAGGCCAGAAUGUAAAUAUUAACAACCUUGGCAAUAUAAAAAUAAAUGUAUACAACACAGAUGAACCUUGAAAACGUUAUGCUGAGCAAAAUCAAUCUCAAAAGAACAAAUACUGUAUGAUCUCACUUAUAUGAAAUAAGCAAAUAUAUAGAAACCAAAAAUCAUUAAUAGUUACCGCAGUGGGAUGGAUGGGGAACAGGAAAGUUUUUGCUUGGGAGGUAUUGAGUUUCUGUUAAUGGUGGUGGAAUACUUUUUUUUUUUUUUAACUUUUAUUGUGCUUUAAGUGAAAGUUUACAAAUCAAGUCAGACUCUCAUACAAAAAUUUGUAGAUAACUUGCUAUGUACCCUAACUGCUCUCCCCCUAAUGAGAUGAGAUAGCACCCUCUUUCCCUCCACUCUCUCUUUUCAUGUUUAUUCGGCCAGCUUCUGACCCCCUCUACUCUCUCAUCUCACCUUCAGAUGGGAGCUGCCCACAUAGUUUCAUGUGUCUACUGGAUCCAAAAAGCUCAUUCUUUACCAGUAUCAUUUUCUAUCCCAUAGUCCAGUCCAAUCCCUGUCUGAAGAGUUGGCUUUGGGAAUGGUUCCUGUCUUGGACUAACAGAAGGUCUGGGGACCAUUACCUCUGGGGUCCUUCUAGUCUUAGUCAGACCAUUAAGUCUGGUCUUUUUACAAGAAUUUGGGGUCACAUCCCACUGCUGUCCUGCUCCCUCGGGGGUUCUCAUUUGUAUUGCCGGUCAGGGCAGUCUUCCGUUGUAACCAGGCACCAUCUAGUCUCUGCUUUAUGUGUCUCUUUCUGCCUCUUGGGCUCACAAUUACCUUGUGUCUUUGGUGUUCUUCAUUCUCCUUUGAUCCAGGUGGGUCAAGACCAAUGGAUGCAUCUUAA